GUGGAGGGGUCCGGGCCACAGCUGCCCCAAAAGCUGAGCCCCCACCAAGUGAGAAGAGGCUGCGAGGGAACGGGAGGGGCAGGCGGCCUGGAGAGAGAGAAGGAAGGAGGGGCGCUGACCAGCCUGCGUCCCCCCCACGGGGCCAGCUCAGAUUCAGCUCCAGGAGCAGCCCAGCUGCAGGAGCCUCGGCAGCCCCAUCGUCCGGUGAAGGACAGCAGGCGGACGGACACACAGACGGGGAUCCUGGGCCGGGAAGUCCUCAGCCCCGAGCCACCCGGCCGGGCCUGGCCCCAUGGCCUUCAAUGACCUCCUGAGGCAGCUGGGGGGCAUCGGCCGCUUCCAGAAGGCCCAGGUCACUCUCAUCAUCCUGCCCAUGCUCCUGAUGGCCUCCCACAACACCCUGCAGAACUUCACCGCCGCCGUCCCCCCCCACCACUGCCGCCCGCCCGCCAGCGCCAACCUCAGCCGGGACGGGGAGCUGGAGGCCUGGCUGCCCCGGGACGGGCAGGGGCGGCCCGAGUCCUGCCUCCGCUUCACCUCCCCGCAAAGGGGGCUGCCCUUUCCCAACGGCACGGAGGCCAACGGCACGGAGGCCACGGAGCCCUGCACCAAUGGCUGGAUCUACGACAACAGCACCUUCCCUUCCACCAUCGUGACUGAGUGGGACCUCGUGUGCUCGCACAGGGCCUUGCGCCAGCUGGCUCAGUCCCUGUACAUGGUGGGGGUGCUUCUGGGAGCCAUCGUGUUCGGACACCUGGCAGACAGGCUGGGCCGCCGGAAAGUGCUGAUCCUGAGCCACCUGCAGAUGGCCGCGUCGGGGACCUGCACAGCCUUCGCUCCCAGCUUCCCUGUCUACUGUGCCUUCCGGCUGCUCUCGGGCAUGUCAACAUCUGGCAUCAUCCUCAACAGCAUGACGCUGAACAUGGAGUGGAUGCCCAUCCACACGCGGGCGUACGUGAGCACGCUGGCCGGCUACGUCUUCAGCCUGGGCCAGUUCAUCCUGGCGGGCGCGGCCUACGCCGUGCCCCACUGGCGCUACCUGCAGCUGCUGGUCUCCGUGCCCUUCUUUGUCUCCUUCGUCUACUCCUGGUUCUUCAUCGAAUCAGCCCGCUGGUACGCCUCCUCCGGGAGGCUGGACCUCACCCUGAAGGCCCUGCAGAGAGUGGCCCAGAUCAACAGGAAGCGGGAAGAAGGGGCCAAGCUAAAUAUGGAGGGCCUCCGGUCCAGUCUGCAGAAGGAGUUGACCAUGGGCCCAGGCUCGGCCUCGGCCCUGGAGCUGCUGCGCCACCCCGCCCUGCGCCGCCUCUUCCUCUGCCUCUCCGUGCUCUGGUUCGCCACCAGCUUCGCCUACUACGGGCUGGUCAUGGACCUGCAGGGCUUCGGGGUGAGCAUCUACCUCAUCCAGGUCAUCUUCGGAGCCGUGGACCUGCCUGCCAAGUUUGUGGGCUUCGUGGCCAUCAACCACCUGGGCCGGCGGCCGGCCCAGAUAGCCGCCCUGCUGCUGGCGGGCAUCUGCAUCCUGGCCAACGGGGUGAUACCCCAGGAUCAGUCCACGGUCCGAACCUCCCUUGCUGUGCUGGGCAAGGGCUGCCUGGCUGCCUCCUUCAGCUGCAUCUUUCUAUACACUGGGGAGCUGUACCCCACAAUGAUCCGGACUGACUACCCGCUCAGCCCUUCCCAACCUUCAAAGACCUCGGAAGGUGGCCCAGCUGAGACAAGGUGGGGAGCCAAGAAGAUGCGUCUCAAAGGCAAUGAACUGAAGUCGCCCCUUGAUCUUCAAAGCACAAGUUAGAAUCCGACACCAAAUCUAAAUUCCACCCAGAAGCCAGGUGGUCCGUCUGAAGCCAAAGACCACCACCUCCCCAUCACAGGAGCCGCACUUGCUGGUGGUGGGACCUCGCACACCAGCCGUCGGGGUGAACACAGCACUGCUUUCCCAGUGCCCAGGCUUGGCCAAGGGAGGAUUUCCAAAUUGAGAAGCAAGAAACACGUGUCUGUUUUCAGAAUGGGAUGCAAAAUUCACAUGAGAUGUCAAAGCAACGUCAGGCUCCCCGAAGCCACUUGGGGAACCCUGAGGGGUCCUGGGACUGUACGGAGCCCUCGUGGGAUUUCGGGGGAAAGAAUAAUCAUAGAGGCCACUUACUAUGUGCCAGGCGCUGUCUUAAACCUUCUGCCAAUAUCAACGCGUUUAAUCCUCAUAACAAUCCCAUCAGGCAGACAGGCCUGGGGAUGGGCAGCACCAUGGCCCGUGUGGGCAGCAUCGCGAGCCCCCUGGUGAGCAUGACUGCCGAGCUCUUCCCCUCCAUGCCUCUCUUCAUC